rnacentral:lncRNA from 1 species
GGGUUCUCAGUGGGAAUCAUUGGGUUUUGUUGGGUUGUGAAUGGGGUUUGUUGGGUUCUGGAUGGGAUUUGUUGGGUUCUGGAUGGGAUUUGUUGGGUUCCGGAUGGGAUUUGUUGGGUUUUGUUGGGUUCCGGAUGGGAUUUGUUGGGUUUUAUUGGGUUCUCAUUGGGGUUUGCAGGGGUCUCAUUGGGUUUGGAGGAUCUCAGUGGGGUUUCCUGGAAUCUCAUUGGGUUUGCUGGGAUCUCAGUGGGUUUGGAGGAUCUCAGUGGGUUUUGUGGGAUCUCAGUGGUGUUUGGUGGAUCUCAGUGCGGUUUGGUGGGAUCUCAGUGGGUUUGGUGGAUCUCAUUGGGGUUUGCUGGGAUCUCAUUGGGUUUGCUGGGAUCUCAGUGGGUUUAUUUGGAUCUCAUUGGGUUCGGUGGGAUCUCAUUGGGGUUUGGUGGAUGUCAGUGGGGUUUGGAGGAUCUCAGUGGGGUUCGGUGGGAUCUCAGUGGGGUUUGGUGGGAUCUCAGUGGGGUUUAUUGGGAUCUCAUUGGGUUUGGAGGAUCUCAUUGGGUUCGGUGGGAUCUCAGUGGGGUUUAUUGGGAUCUCAGUGGGGUUUAUUGGGAUCUCAUUGGGUUUGGCGGAUCUCAUUGGGGUUUGCUGGGAUCUCAGUGGGGUUUGGUGGAUCUCAGUGGGUUUGCUGGGAUCUCAGUGGGUUUGGAGGAUCUCAGUGGGGUUUGCUGGGAUCUCAUUGGGGUUUCGCUGGGA